UACAGAGGGUGCGAGCGUUAUCCGGAUUUACUGGGUUUAAAGGGUGCGUAGGCGGAUUUGUAAGUCCGAGGUGAAAUCUCCGAGCUUAACUCGGAAACUGCCUUGGAUACUAUAAGUCUUGAAUGACGUUGAGGUUAGCGGAAUAUGUCAUGUAGCGGUGAAAUGCUUAGAUAUGACAUAGAACAUCUAUUGCGAAGGCAGCUAACUAAGCGUAUAUUGACGCUCAUGCACGAUAGCGUGGGGAGCAAACAGG
rnacentral:rRNA from 1 species